CCUACGGGUGGCAGCAGUAAGGAAUAUUGGUCAAUGGACGCAAGUCUGAACCAGCCAUGCCGCGUGGAGGAUGAAGGUCCUCUGGAUUGUAAACUUCUUUUAUUUGGGAAGAAACUCCCGAUUUCCAUCGGGAUUGACGGUACCAGAUGAAUAAGCACCGGCUAACUCCGUGCCAGCAGCCGCGGUAAUACGGAGGGUGCAAGCGUUAUCCGGUUUCAAGGGGUCGUAGGGGUGCGUAUAUGGGAGUGUUGAAAUCUACGGGCUUAACCCGGGAACUGCCAUUGAUACUAUUUGUCUUGAAUACUCUGGAGGUGAGCGGAAUAUGUCAUGUAGCGGUGAAAUGCUUAGAUAUGACAUAGAACACCCAUUGCGAAGGCAGCUCACUACGGAAAUAUUGACGCUGAGGCACGAAAGCGUGGGGAUCAAACAGGAUUAGAUACCCCGGUAGUC
rnacentral:rRNA from 1 species